CAGGUGUUCGGGGGGGGGGGGGGGGGGGUUCUUGAGGAAGAGAGUGUGGCAGAUGAAAUGUUAUAAUGUCGGGGGUGAAGAAGACGACAAAAGCAAGGGAGGGAUAAGUAUGGACUUGUGGGUGAUAGUGGUGAUGUCUACGGUGACUUUUUGUUUUAAGUCCCUAGUGUCGUUGUGCUCAGGUUCUUGUGAUUGUUCAUUAUCGAUGAUAUAGGAAUUGUUUUAUGUUUCACAUGAUUUAUCAAAAAAUUUAUGUUUAACAUGAUUCUCUUCUAAAAUUAUGAUGAUUCUUUUCUACCCUAGCCCGAUUCUUUUGGAUAAAGCCUUAGGGAUGUGGCGCCCCACCACUGCAUUGAUGCCUGAUGGAGUAUGGGGUUCAUAGGGCCAUUGAUGCCUGAUGUGCUGUGGAGUAUUGGGUCCAUAGGGCCAUUGAUGCCUGAUGUACUGUGGAGUUGGGGGUCCAUAGGUGCAUUGAUAUUAUCAUGUUGAUACCUCUAAAAAUCUUUGCAAGUUCUCGUGCAUGAACUGUUGAAAUAUCGGCUAUGUAUGGUUUCCAAAAUUUCCACUUCUUUUUAAAUAUUGCCUUUGAAAAUAUCGUCAAAGUAUGAAUUUCCUUUCUUAUUUAAAUCAACUUUGAUAUGGAUAUCUCAGAAGUUUUUUUUUGGGAAUGUUUGGGGACGGAAGUAGCUUUCUAAAUUUAGAGGGAGUGUGGAUGUCCAAAGAAAUUUCCUUCCAAACAUAUCGCAAUACAUUGGCAAUUUUUAUAACCCUCGACAAAAUGGAAAACAGCAAUGAUAUUUUUGUCAAACACUUAAAAGGGCAUAGACGAGCUUACUAAAUAAUAUAUAUCUUCAUAAUUUUGGUAUACCUGGAGAACUUUUCUGGCAUUGUAAUGAACUUGUGCCCCUCUUACCCAAGACAUCGUGCCGAGUAUAUAGGGUGGCUAGACGAUGUACCAACUUCCAAAGGAAGCUUCCCAAGCAGCCAUGGAACAAGGGAAGCUUCCUUUUCACUUUCAUUAUGCUUUUCUUGUUUAAGCUGAGUGUAUUUCUCCGUUCUCAUCUCUAUUAAAAUGAUAUGAUACGGUUUAGGCGUAGGAAAAUAAUCGUCUAAAUGACGAUUUUGUCCUCA